AGAGGCGUCUAAGAGAUACUGGGAGUCUAGGGACCGGGAGAGGUGAGAGGUACUCCCGGGGGUAGGAGUGAAAUCCUGUAAUCCCCGGGGGACCACCUGUGGCGAAGGCGUCUCACCAGAACGGCUCCGACAGUGAGGGACGAAAGCUGGGGGAGCGAACCGGAUUAGAUACCCGGGUAGUCCCAGCCGUAAACGAUGCGCGUUAGGUGUACUGGUGACCACGAGUCACCGGGGUGCCGAAGGGAAACCGUGAAACGUGCCGCCUGGGAAGUACGGUCGCAAGGCUGAAACUUAAAGGUAUUGGCGGGGGAGCACCACAACGGGUGGAGCUGCGGU
rnacentral:rRNA from 1 species